GCCCGGGUGGCUCAGUCGGUUGAGCGUCUGACUUCGGCUCAGGUCGUGAUCUCACGGUCUGUGAGUUCGAGCCCCACAUCGGGCU
rnacentral:tRNA from 1 species